rnacentral:rRNA from 1 species
AUUGAACGCUGGCGGCAGGCUUAACACAUGCAAGUCGAACGAGUGGCGGACGGGUGAGUAAUGUUUGGGAAACUGCCUGAUGGAGGGGGAUAACUACUGGAAACGGUAGCUAAUACCGCAUACCAUCAGAUGUGCCCAGAUGGGAUUAGCUAGUAGGUGGGGUAACGGCUCACCUAGGCGACGAUCACUAGCUGGUCUGAGAGGAUGACCAGCCACACUGGAACUGAGACACGGUCCAGACUCCUACGGGAGGCAGCAGUGGGGAAUAUUGCACAAUGGGCGCAAGUUUGAUGCAGCCAUGCCGCGUGAAUGAAGAAGGCCUUCGGGUUGUAAAGUUCUUUCGGUAGCGAGGCGUUACCUACAGAAGAAGCACCGGCUAACUCCGUGCCAGCAGCCGCGGUAAUUC